rnacentral:misc_RNA from 1 species
GGGAAAGAGGCUUGAGCUUUCUCUAGUUGUAGUAGUAGCAAGUUCAAAUGUAAUUGUGCUGUUUGCAUAGUUGUUUAAGGCAUGCCUCGCACAAAUGCACAAGUGCGAUGCUCCACAUCUAGAAUUAGCAGUCCUCGAUGCUUUUAUUUUUCAACAUCUACACACCUCAAAUUGCUCUCCCCUCCAACCUUGUUUUUGGAUCCCCAACUCUUCUUUAGUGUCUAUGUUUUUGUUUCUGGCGCGCCCUCGAUUGUUGUCUUAAAUAAGUGAUAGGAAAAAAAUGUUAAAAUUUUUUUUAUGCUUUUUUCCCUUGUGAUUAACGUUUGAUCGAAGUUAAUAAUUGUUAAAGCAUCAAUC